rnacentral:misc_RNA from 1 species
UCCGGUUUGUCACCGGCAGUCUCGCAUGAGUCCCCACCCGAAGUGCUGGCAACAUGCGACAGGGGUUGCGCUCGUUGCGGGACUCAACCCAACAUCUCACGACACGAGCUGACGACAGCCAUGCAACACCUGUGUAGGGCCCUUGCGGACACCGUAUCUCUACGGCUUUUCCCUACAUGUCAAGCCCUGGUAAGGUUCUUCGCGUUGCGUCGAAUUAAGCAACAUGCUCCGCCGCUUGUGCGGGCCCCCGUCAAUUCCUUUGAGUUUCAGCCUUGCGGCCGUACUCCUCAGGCGGGGCACUUCAUGCGUUAGCGCCGGCACCCAGGGGGUCGCUCCCCCAAGCACCUAGUGCCCAUCGUUUACGGCGUGGACUAC